GAUGAACGCUGGCGGCGUGCCUAAUACAUGCAAGUCGAGCGAACAGACGAGGAGCUUGCUCCUCUGACGUUAGCGGCGGACGGGUGAGUAACACGUGGAUAACCUACCUAUAAGACUGGGAUAACUUCGGGAAACCGGAGCUAAUACCGGAUAAUAUAUUGAACCGCAUGGUUCAAUAGUGAAAGACGGUUUUGCUGUCACUUAUAGAUGGAUCCGCGCCGCAUUAGCUAGUUGGUAAGGUAACGGCUUACCAAGGCGACGAUGCGUAGCCGACCUGAGAGGGUGAUCGGCCACACUGGAACUGAGACACGGUCCAGACUCCUACGGGAGGCAGCAGUGGGAAUCUUCCGCAAUGGGCGAAAGCCUGACGGAGCAACGCCGCGUGAGUGAUGAAGGUCUUCGGAUCGUAAAACUCUGUUAUUAGGGAAGAACAAAUGUGUAAGUAACUAUGCACGUCUUGACGGUACCUAAUCAGAAAGCCACGGCUAACUACGUG
rnacentral:rRNA from 1 species